rnacentral:lncRNA from 13 species
GUUCAAAAAUGCUGGCAACACAGUAGCACAGCAGAGUGCCGGCUGUUUACCCCGUGACUGUGUGGUUGGCUGCGAGCUGUGGCUCGCUGCUGCCACCCAGCAUUGCAGCUCUGGAGGCUAGAAAGUCCAAGAUACAGAAGACUGCAAUUGGCCAGGGUCUUGUGUCAUCGUAUGGUGGAAGGCAGAAAGGUCAGAAAUGAAAAUCAAGACAAAGGACCUUAAGAAGAGAGGAGCAGAAUAUCUCAGUCAUCUAAAAGAGGAAUCCUACCCCAGUGGCUACUGAGAGGGCAUUUCCUG